UAUAAAUUAUUCCUUAAUUAUGUAUGUAUAUUACAAGGGAUUACCAAUGGAUAUGUUACUUAUGAUUUUUGUAUUUUGUUUAAAUUCAGACAUAAAUCUGGAUAUUUAUUUUAACAUAUAUGAAGAGGCACUACUUUCAAAUAAUAAAAAAAGUAAUGCUAAUAAAAUUUUUCAAUUUUUUGGAUUGAGUAUUGAAAAAUUAAGAAAAUUUCGCUUAAAAAAUACUAAAAAAAUAUAUGACGCCUCAAGUAGCAUUUUGAAACAAAAAAUUAACAUUGGUCAUAUUUAUGAAACUUUUGAAUGGGCUAAAAUAAAGCGAUUUUAUUUUUCUUUGGUCAUUUUUGAUUUAUUCACUGAAGACAUAUUAGACGUUUCAAAAAAGUAUUUAAA